UGGCGCAGGGCGCCGGUGCAUCGAGCCACCUGGGGGACUCUUUAACUGGUGGGGGAGGUUGUCACAUCUUGCAGGAGCUUUCCUCUCCUCAGGAAUUCUCUCUGCAGGAGGGGGAGAUAUAGGAGAGGUGGAGGAAGAUCUCAGCCUGGGCGUCUAUUGUCUUGUGUAGUCUGGAAGAUGAGUGGAUGAUGGGGUGGGUGCAGUUUUCUCUGUAGUGGGGUCGGGUAGGCUGUCCCGGGCUCUGUGGGGCCGGGCGGCGCUGCUGCACUGAGCCCUGGUCCGGAUGGGCCUGGGCCCCCUUUCCCUGGCGGGUUGCAGAGCAUGGGGGUGCCUACUGGGGUCAGCGGGGGAGCUGGCCCCAGGGAGGGGUCACUUGCCCCUCCCUUUCUUCCCUCCCCAUCUCCAGCUGCCUCCCUCUUCCUGCUCCACCACAAUUACCCACACAUGCAGGGCCUUGGGGUAGGGGUGUGUCACCAGGGUGCAGAGGAGGCAUCCCCCCCCUCUGUCCCCUUCUGGCUGCCUCUGCCUCAAUUUUAUCUCACAACUUAGACAUUCACAUUACUCACACUCUCAUAACACAUACAUAUAUGCAGUGAACAAGGUGAAGAAGGGGAAGUCGGUUUGUCAGGUGGCAAGGAAGAUGAACAUAUGCAGGAUGACAUUAAAACGAUACAUGGGCAAGAAAAAGAUGGGUGGAGAAGAAAUAAGGCCAGGAAAUAAAAGAACUGGACUUACCGUUCAAGUCUUUGAAGAACAAAUGGAGAGAGAGUUGGCAGGACGUCUAAAGGCACUCACUGCAAUGUUUUAUGGUCUAAGUAACAUGAAAUGCUGAGAAAUGGCUUUUAAGCAUGUACAAAGUAAUGACAUCGAUAUCCCUGCCAGCUGGAUCAAAGAGAUAACAGCAGGUUAAGUGAGCAUUUAUUAAGACAAAGUCAUCUGGAACAUGAAUAAUUAUUUCCCAGUUCAUUAUCUGUUAUCAAAAUGCAGAUAGUUUACAGAGAAGCAAAACUGGGUACUCAUUUAGAGCUUCAACUUAUGUAAAUAUGAAUGUAAUUGUGAUUGUGUAACGGAGGGAAGGUGAUUUUUUUUUUGCACAGUGUUAUUAAAGGAGGGAAACCUUCCUCAAAACGGACAGAGCAGUGGAGCAGCCAAGGGAGUACACACAAAUUAAAAAACUGUAAGGCUAAAAUAUAAUUUAUUAUAUUUAAACAAUUAAAAAUGUAGAAUGAAUAACAACCCUGGCCAGGGGCGAACACACCAUAAAAAUCAAUAAAACACAAAAUUAAAAGUCCAGUGGCGAUCGCCAUGGUAUAAAAGUCAUUAAGAAUUUAAAAAUCCAGUGAAGCGGUGCAGGAGGGAAACCCGGCGGCGUCCUCGCCUUCCUCUCCGCGUUCUGCGCUCCGGUGCGCUAAAGGAAGAAAGGCAGCGGCAGUCACUACUCUUUUAGGCGGCUAUCAUUCAUUAAAGGGGACAAGUCAAAGACUUACCCCGGGUGGGCAGAGCUCUCAACUCUGCCCGCCGCUUCUUUGUAACCGCCAAUCGGCACCGGCCCGCCUCGCCGCCUCUAAUUCCUCACAGACGUGUAGUCUGGCCUCCUGUUGCUGCAGCAGUCGGACCGCUCGCUCCCCGUCCCUGGUCGCUAGCGCUGUAUCUUCCUCCCCUGCUUGACGCCAAGCUCCACCAGCUUCUUGCACUGACGCCAACUCCGGCGCCGCCGUCACUUGCCACUCCUAGUCUGCCAUGCCUGCUCCUGUCUCUCAAGCCUCCUCGAGCCUCCUCACACCGAACGCGAUAGGCGCGAGCGAAAACGCCCCAAACGCCCCUAAUUUGACGCGUGCACAUUCGCACCUCGACGCGUGUCCAACAGAAAUCCAUCGCGCCUCAAAAUUGCAUAUUUUGACGCGCGUGAACCGGAAAUGUGGGAGGAAUGUGGGAGGAAGUUGUGCCAGACGGUAUCAUUGCUAGAUGGCAGCUGUCGAGCUAGCGUUUGAAGAGAGAGUCUCCCUUCUCUAUUUACUGUGGAGAGCAGAGCAGCGGCGUUAAGGACGUCCUCGCCGUACCUGGGUCCGGUCCUCCAGAGGCGUGAGCAGUUUGGUGAGUUUCACCACUUGCUCCAGGAGCUGCGCCUGGAUGACGGUGAUGACAGCGAUAUCACUGUCUUUCACUUGCCCAGUUUGAGGAGCUGCUGUCCCGCGUCGGUCCCAGAAUCGCCCGCCUAGACACCAACUACAGGCGCUCAAUCCCACCUGCAGAGCGCCUGUCCAUCUGCCUGAGGUCCCUUGCCACCGGGGACUCCUUCAGGACCAUCGCGUUCAGUUUCAGAGUCGGUGUGUCCACGGUGUGCCAGAUCACCCCCCAGGUAGCGACGGCCAUCUGGGACUGUCUAGUGGACGACUUCAUGGCUGUGCCUUCACCUGGAGACUGGCGGUCCAUCACAGAGGGAUUCCAGGAGCGCUGGAACUUCCCUCUCUGCUGUGGAGCUCUGGAUGGGAAGCAUGUCCAGACAAAGGCACCCCAUAUAUCAUAUAGGAGACACACACAUUGAUAUACACUAAAUAUUUAUUUCAUGUCUUUUUUUGUGGUGCCCAAAUUUAUGCACCUGCUUGAUUUUGUUUAAACAAUUAUUGCACACUUUUUGUAAUUCCAGUAAACUUCUUUUCACUUCUCAAAUAUCACUGUGUGUGUCUCCUAUAUGAUAUUUAACUGACAUUUUUUAUUGUAACAACCAACGAUUUAUACAGGAAAAUACUGGCUAUUAUCAAGGUUGCCCAAACUUUUGCAUCCCACUGUAUUAGUAUAUUUUGUCAUUAGUAUAAUAUGAAAUAAAUUCUACAUGUGUCAA